UACGUAGGGGGCGAGCGUUGUCCGGAGUUAUUGGGCGUAAAGAGCGUGUAGGCGGUUUGGUAAGUCUGUCGUGAAAUCCUGAGGCUCAACCUCGGGAGUGCGAUGGAUACUGCCGGGCUAGAGGGUGGUAGAGGCGAGUGGAAUUCCCGGUGUAGCGGUGAAAUGCGCAGAUAUCGGGAGGAACACCAGUAGCGAAGGCGGCUCGCUGGGCCGCACCUGACGCUGAGACGCGAAAGCUAGGGGAGCGAACAGG
rnacentral:rRNA from 1 species